rnacentral:rRNA from 1 species
CUGCUCAGUAACACGUGGAUAACUGCCCUAAGGAAGGGGAUAACCCCGGGAAACUGGGGAUAAUACCCUAUAGGUUACAGAUGCUGGAAUGCUUUGUAACCCAAAGUUCCGACGCCUUAGGAUGGAUCUGCGGCCGAUUAGGUAGUUGUUGGGGUAACGGCCCAACAAGCCAGUAAUCGGUACGGGUUGUGGGAGCAAGAGCCCGGAGUUGGAUUCUGAGACACGAAUCCAGGCCCUACGGGGCGCAGCAGGCGCGAAAACUUUACAAUGCGGGCAACCGUGAUAAGGGAACCUCGAGUGCCUGUAUAUGCAGGCUGUCCAGGUGUCUAAAACACACCUGAAGAAAGGGCCGGGCAAGACCGGUGCCAGCCGCCGCGGUAAUACCGGCGGCUCGAGUGGUGGCCACUUUUAUUGGGCUUAAAGCGUUCGUAGCUGGGUUGUUAAGUCUCUUGGGAAAUCUACCGGCUCAACCGGUAGGCGUUCAGGAGAUACUGGCAAUCUAGGGACCGGGAGAGGUGAGAGGUACUCCAGGGGUAGGAGUGAAAUCCUGUAAUCCUUGGGGGACCACCUGUGGCGAAGGCGUCUCACUAGAACGGCUCCGACAGUGAGGGACGAAAGCUGGGGGAGCAAACCGGAUUAGAUACCCGGGUAGUCCCAGCUGUAAACGAUGCGCGUUAGGUGUAUCGGUGACCACGAGUCACCGAGGUGCCGAAGGGAAACCGUGAAACGUGCCGCCUGGGAAGUACGGUCGCAAGGCUGAAACUUAA